UUCGGUGGUUUUGGCGAGGGGGAAACACCCGGUCCCAUCCCGAACCCGGAAGUUAAGCCCUUCAGCGCCGAUGGUACUGCACGGGAGACUGUGUGGGAGAGUAGGACACCGCCGGAC
rnacentral:rRNA from 1 species